rnacentral:rRNA from 1 species
GACAGAGGCCUCGAGCGUUAGGCGGAAUCACUGGGCUUAAAGCGUGUGUAGGCGGAUCGUUAAGUGUCUUGUGAAAUCCCACGGCUUAACCGUGGAACUGCUUGGUAUACUGCUUAUCUUGGGCCACUUAGGGGCUACCGGAACAAACGGUGGAGCGGUGAAAUGCGUAGAUAUCGUUUGGAACGCCAAUGGUGAAAACAGGUAGCUGGGAUGUGCCGACGUGAGACACGAAAGCCAGGGGAGCGAACGGG